GACGAACGCUGGCGGCGUGCUUAACACAUGCAAGUCGAACGGAAAGGCCCCAGCUUGCUGGAGUACUCGAGUGGCGAACGGGUGAGUAACACGUGGGUAAUCUGCCCUGCACUCUGGGAUAAGCUUGGGAAACUGGGUCUAAUACUGGAUAUGACCUUUCUCCUUAUGGGGUUUGGUGGAAAGUUUUUCGGUGUAGGAUGAGCCCGCGGCCUAUCAGCUUGUUGGUGGGGUGAUGGCCUACCAAGGCGACGACGGGUAGCCGGCCUGAGAGGGUGAUCGGCCACAUUGGGACUGAGAUACGGCCCAGACUCCUACGGGAGGCAGCAGUGGGGAAUAUUGCACAAUGGGCGGAAGCCUGAUGCAGCGACGCCGCGUGAGGGAUGACGGCCUUCGGGUUGUAAACCUCUUUCGGCAGGGACGAAGCGUAAGUGACGGUAACUGCAAAAGAAGCACCGGCUAACUAUGUG
rnacentral:rRNA from 1 species